rnacentral:rRNA from 1 species
AUCCAGCGAACUUGGCAGAGAUGCCUUGGUGCCUUCGGGAACGCUGAGACAGGUGCUGCAUGGCUGUCGUCAGCUCGUGUUGUGAAAUGUUGGGUUAAGUCCCGNAACGAGCGCAACCCUUAUCCUUUGUGCCAGCGAUUCGGUCGGGAACUCAAAGGAGACUGCCGGUGAUAAACCGGAGGAAGGUGGGGAUGACGUCAAGUCAUCAUGGCCCUUACGAGUAGGGCUACACACGUGCUACAAUGGCGCAUACAAAGAGAAGCGACCUCGCGAGAGCAAGCGGACCUCAUAAAGUGCGUCGUAGUCCGGAUCGGAGUCUGCAACUCGACUCCGUGAAGUCGGAAUCGCUAGUAAUCGUGGAUCAGAAUGCCACGGUGAAUACGUUCCCGGGCCUUGUACACACCGCCCGUCACACCAUGGGAGUGGGUUGCAAAAGAAGUAGGUAGCUUAACCUCCGGGAGGGCGCUUACCACUUUGUGAUUCAUGACUGGGGUGAAGUCGUAACAAGGUAGGCGUAGCGAG